UUUACCCUGCCCUGUUCGUGAUGCUCAACAAAGUCCUUGAACCGUAGUUAUACGAUCCUGGGACACCAAGCUGUGGUUGUGGCCGACAGGCCUUUACUGGAAGUCGAAAGCAAUCCGGCCCGUCCCACAUGUUGCAAAACAUGUUCAAAGGAAAAGUUACACACGGCAAGGGUGGGGUGCCU
rnacentral:other from 1 species